GAGGCGAACCGGGAGAACUGAAACAUCUAAGUACCCCGAGGAAAAGAAAUCAACCGAGAUUCCCUCAGUAGCGGCGAGCGAACGGGGAUUAGCCCUUAAGCAUCUUGGAAGUUAGUGGAACGGUCCUGGAAAGGCCGGCGAUACAGGGUGAUAGCCCCGUACACGAAAACAACCUUGAUGUGAAAUCGAGUAGGGCGGGACACGUGACAUCCUGUCUGAAUAUGGGGGGACCAUCCUCCAAGGCUAAAUACUCCUGACUGACCGAUAGUGAACCAGUACCGUGAGGGAAAGGCGAAAAGAACCCCUGUGAGGGGAGUGAAAUAGAACCUGAAACCGUGUACGUACAAGCAGUGGGAGCCCUUCGGGGUGACUGCGUACCUUUUGUAUAAUGGGUCAGCGACUUACAUUUUGUAGCGAGGUUAACCGUAUAGGGGAGCCGUAGGGAAACCGAGUCUUAACUGGGCGUCUAGUUGCAAGGUGUAGACCCGAAACCGGGUGAUCUAGCCAUGGGCAGGUUGAAGGUUGAGUAACAUCAACUGGAGGACCGAACCCACUAACGUUGCAAAGUUAGGGGAUGACCUGUGGCUGGGGGUGAAAGGCCAAUCAAACUCGGAGAUAGCUGGUUCUCCCCGAAAGCUAUUUAGGUAGCGCCUCGGACGAAUACUACUGGGGGUAGAGCACUGUUUGGGCUAGGGGGUCAUCCCGACUUACCAACCCCAUGCAAACUCCGAAUACCAGUAAGUAAUAUCCGGGAGACACACGGCGGGUGCUAACGUCCGUCGUGAAGAGGGAAACAACCCAGACCGCCGGCUAAGGUCCCAAAGUUCUGGUUAAGUGGGAAACGAUGUGGGAAGGCUCAGACAGCUAGGAUGUUGGCUUAGAAGCAGCCAUCAUUUAAAGAAAGCGUAAUAGCUCACUAGUCGAGUCGGCCUGCGCGGAAGAUGUAACGGGGCUCAAACCAGGCACCGAAGCCGCGGAUUCACACUAAGUGUGAGUGGUAGGGGAGCGUUCUGUAAGUCUGCGAAGGUGUAUCGAGAGGUAUGCUGGAGAUAUCAGAAGUGCGAAUGCUGACGUAAGUAACGAUAAAGGGGGUGAAAAGCCUCCUCGCCGGAAGACCAAGGGUUCCUGUCCAACGUUAAUCGGGGCAGGGUGAGUCGACCCCUAAGGCGAGGCCGAAAGGCGUAGUCGAUGGGAAGCAGGUUAAUAUUCCUGCACGACUUGUAAUUGCGAUGGGGGGACGGAGAAGGCUAGGUGGGCCAGGCGACGGUUGUCCUGGUGAAAGUGCGUAGGUGGUGUUUCUAGGCAAAUCCGGAGACACAACACUGAGACACGAGACGAACACACUACGGUGUGGAAGCCAUUGAUGCCCUGCUUCCAGGAAAAGCCUCUAAGCUUCAGAUUACAAGUCAUCGUACCCCAAACCGACACAGGUGGUCGGGUAGAGAAUACCAAGGCGCUUGAGAGAACUCGGGUGAAGGAACUAGGCAAAAUAGAACCGUAACUUCGGGAGAAGGUUCGCUCUUGAUGGUGAAGUCCCUUGCGGAUGGAGCUGUCGGGAGUCGCAGUGACCAGAUGGCUGGGACUGUUUAUCAAAAACACAGCACUCUGCAAACACGAAAGUGGACGUAUAGGGUGUGACACCUGCCCGGUGCCGGAAGGUUAAUUGAUGGGGUUAGCGCAAGCGAAGCUCUUGAUCGAAGCCCCGGUAAACGGCGGCCGUAACUAUAACGGUCCUAAGGUAGCGAAAUUCCUUGUCGGGUAAGUUCCGACCUGCACGAAUGGUGUAACCAUGGCCAUGCUGUCUCCACCCGAGACUCAGUGAAAUCGAAUUCGCCGUGAAGAUGCGGUGUACCCGCGGCUAGACGGAAAGACCCCGUGAACCUUUACUACAGCUUGGCACUGAACAUUGAACCUACAUGUGUAGGAUAGGUGGGAGGCUUUGAAGGCGUGACGCCAGUUGCGCUGGAGCCGUCCUUGAAAUACCACCCUUGUAUGUUUGAUGUUCUAACGCAGGGCCCUGAAUCGGGCUCGCGGACAGUGCCUGGUGGGUAGUUUGACUGGGGCGGUCUCCUCCCAAAGAGUAACGGAGGAGCACGAAGGUUGGCUAAUCCUGGUCGGACAUCAGGAGGUUAGUGCAAUGGCAUAAGCCAGCUUAACUGCGAGACGGACAGGUCGAGCAGGUACGAAAGUAGGUCAUAGUGAUCCGGUGGUUCUGAAUGGAAGGGCCAUCGCUCAACGGAUAAAAGGUACUCCGGGGAUAACAGGCUGAUACCGCCCAAGAGUUCAUAUCGACGGCGGUGUUUGGCACCUCGAUGUCGGCUCAUCACAUCCUGGGGCUGAAGUCGGUCCCAAGGGUAUGGCUGUUCGCCAUUUAAAGUGGUACGCGAGCUGGGUUCAGAACGUCGUGAGACAGUUCGGUCCCUAUCUGCCGUGGGCGUUGGAUGAUUGAAGGGAGUUGCUCCUAGUACGAGAGGACCGGAGUGAACGAACCUCUGGUGUUCGGGUUGUCACGCCAGUGGCACUGCCCGGUAGCUAAGUUCGGAAUCGAUAACCGCUGAAAGCAUCUAAGCGGGAAGCGAGCCCUGAGAUGAGUCAUCCCUGACCCCUUGAGGGUCCUAAAGGGCCGUUGGAGACCACAACGUUGAUAGG
rnacentral:rRNA from 1 species